GAAAUUCCACCUUAUGGAUGAAUAAAUAGUGUCUCGGAUUCUAACCCAACCUGUACCAACUAAGCUAAAUUUCAUGAAAUGAAAUAAUUUUAAUUGAGUGUUAAACUUAAAAUAUCCGUUCGUUCCGUUUGGUGUUGUCGUGUUUCGUUCUUAGAGGCUGAGAAAGGACUGUGUUAUGGUAGUGUCGAACCCAUCCUACUGAAACGCGACGUCGUUUUGUUCAUUUCAU
rnacentral:lncRNA from 1 species